GAUGAAUAAUGAAUAUGCACAUGUCAUCAAUCACAAUCAUAUCACGAUCACAUCAUAGUAUUACACAUCAUCUGUCUCAAUCACAACCAUAUCACGACCACAUCAUAGUAUUACACAUCAUCUGUCUCAAUCACAACCAUAUCACGACCACAUCAUAGUAUUACACAUCAUCUGUCUCAAUCACAACCAUAUCACGACCACAUCAUAGUAUUACACAUCAUCUGUCUCAAUCACAACCAUAUCACGACCACAUCAUAGUAUUACACAUCAUCUGUCUCAAUCACAACCAUAUCACGACCACAUCAUAGUAUUACACAUCAUCUGUCUCAAUCACAACCAUAUCACGACCACAUCAUAGUAUUACACAUCAUCUGUCUCAAUCAAGACCACAUCAUAGUAUUACACAUCAUCUGUCUCAAUCAAGACCACAUCAUAGUAUUACACAUCAUCUGUCUCAAUCAAGACCACAUCAUAGUAUUACACAUCAUCUGUCUCAAUCAAGACCACAUCAUAGUAUUACACAUCAUCUGUCUCAAUCAAGACCACAUCAUAGUAUUACACAUCAUCUGUCUCAAUCAAGACCACAUCAUAGUAUUACACAUCAUCUGUCUCAAUCACAACCAUAUCACGACCACAUCAUAGUAUUACACAUCAUCUGUCUCAAUCACAACCAUAUCACGACCACAUCAUAGUAUUACACAUCAUCUGUCUCAAUCACAACCAUAUCACGACCACAUCAUAGUAUUACACAUCAUCUGUCUCAAUCACAACCAUAUCACGACCACAUCAUAGUAUUACACAUCACCUGUCUCAAUCACAAUCAUAUCACGACCACAUCAUAGUAUUACACAUCACCUGUCUCAAUCACAACCAUAUCACGACCACAUCAUAGUAUUACACAUCACCUGUCUCAAUCACAACCAUAU
rnacentral:lncRNA from 1 species